GCGGAGUCCGUGCCAGCUGACGAGGUAAUAGGGAGGUGGCAAGCGUUGGCCUGAAUUAGUGGGCGUAAGGCGCGGUCAGGCGGGACGUUAAGUCGGAUGUGAAAGCCCACGGCUCAACCGUGGAGGGUCAUGGGAAACUGGGGGACGUGAGUGAAGAAGAGGAAAGCGGAAUUCCACGUGUAGCGGUGAAAUGCGUAGAGAUGUGGAGGAACACCAGUGGCGAAGGCGGCUUUCUGGUCUGUAACUGACGCUGAGGCGCGAAAGCGUGGGGAGCAAACAGGAUUAGAUACCCGGGUAGUC
rnacentral:rRNA from 1 species